GACGAACGCUGGCGGCGUGCUUAACACAUGCAAGUCGAACGGAAAGGCCCUGCUUUUGUGGGGUGCUCGAGUGGCGAACGGGUGAGUAACACGUGAGUAACCUGCCCUUGACUUUGGGAUAACUUCAGGAAACUGGGGCUAAUACCGGAUAGGAGCUCCUGCUGCAUGGUGGGGGUUGGAAAGUUUCGGCGGUUGGGGAUGGACUCGCGGCUUAUCAGCUUGUUGGUGGGGUAGUGGCUUACCAAGGCUUUGACGGGUAGCCGGCCUGGGAGGGUAAACGGCGACAUUGGGACUGAGAUAGGGCGCAGAAUCCUACGGGAGGCAGCAGUGGGAAAUAUUGCACAAUGGGCGGAAGCGAGAUGCAGCAACGCCGCGUGCGGGAUGACGGCCUUCGGGUUGUAAACCGCUUUCGCCUGUGACGAAGCGUGAGUGACGGUAAUGGGUAAAGAAGCACCGGCUAACUACGUG
rnacentral:rRNA from 1 species